rnacentral:rRNA from 1 species
GACGUAGGGCGCGAGCGUUGUCCGGAUUUAUUGGGCGUAAAGAGCUCGUAGGCGGCUUGUUGCGUCGGCUGUGAAAACCCGUGGCUUAACUGCGGGCUUGCAGCUGAUACGGGCGGGCUAGAGUUCGGUAGGGGAGACUGGAAUUCCUGGUGUAGCGGUGAAAUGCGCAGAUAUCAGGAGGAACACCGGUGGCGAAGGCGGGUCUCUGGGCCGAUACUGACGCUGAGGAGCGAAAGCGUGGGGAGCGAACAGG